GACGAACGCUGGCGGCGUGCUUAACACAUGCAAGUCGAACGGAAAGGCCCUGCUUUUGUGGGGUGCUCGAGUGGCGAACGGGUGAGUAACACGUGAGUAACCUGCCCUUGACUUUGGGAUAACUUCAGGAAACUGGGGCUAAUACCGGAUAGGAGCUCCUGCUUCAUGGUGGGGGUUGGAAAGUUUCGGCGGUUGGGGAUGGACUCGCGGCUUAUCAGCUUGUUGGUGGGGUAGUGGCUUACCAAGGCUUUGACGGGUAGCCGGCCUGAGAGGGUGACCGGCCACAUUGGGACUGAGAUACGGCCCAGACUCCUCCGGGAGGCAGCAGUGGGGAAUAUUGCACAAUGGGAGGAAGCAUGAUGCAGCAACGCCGCGUGCGGGAUGACGGCAUUCGGGUUGUAAACCGCUUUCGCCUGUGACGAAGCGUGAGUGACGGUAAUGGGUAAAGAAGCACCGGCUAACUACGUG
rnacentral:rRNA from 1 species